CAGAUUUAAAUUCUGAAGAAAUAAUUUACUAUUCUUUCGUUAGCAACACUACCAGUGCUAAUAAUCCGUUCUUAAAAACUAUCAUCAUAGGUAUGUGUAGAAAGCUGUCAGUCUUCCACACAUCCUAAAUGAGCUGUGAAGAUGUGAUGCCGAGGGGCUGAUGCUAUAUAGAAAUGUUGGUCUGCAGUCGGCAUCACCACCCUUUUCAUCUCAGUGGUACUUAGGAUUCAUAUUCAUCACCACCAGGCCAUGUAGGCACCUUGCUGUUGAUGUUUCUUGGCAGAAUAAAUGCGAUCCUGAAUUGGCAGACAAACUGGACUUGCAAAUGCUCAAGGAAGAACCAGCUUAUGAGGGGAGGAGGAGCACUGCCAACUCCUCUAAAGAGUAACUGAAUGAGACCUGGCAGCUUGAAACGCGCCACUGGUAAGCCAUUGGAAAACUUUCCUCUAGCUGAAUACCCUUCAGAAAAACUACUCUGACACUUACCAGCUGAAUUCAGGUAAGGGAUUGUGCGGCUUGGAUUUGUCAUGGUGAUGGCUGGACUUGAUGAUCUUAGAAGUCUUUUCAGCUGAAAUGAUUUUCUGAUUCUACUAUUCUAUGAUCAUGACGUGCUGAGUCUGCUGUAAGAGCAGCUAGCAGCAACUUGCAGUUAAGUUGAUGUCUGCACAUAUACCUGGGAUUGCCCAUACCCAAAGUGUAACACCUUGCAUUUGGCCUUGUUCAGUCUCAUUUGGUUUGUGUGGGCCCACUUCUCUAUCCUGUCUAGGUCCCUCUGGAUGGCAUCCCUUCCUUCUGUUAUACCAACCACACCGCUCAGCUUGGUGUCAUCAGCAAACUUGCUGAGGGUGCAUGCAGUCCCAUCAUCUGUGUCACUGAUAAAGAUGUUAAACAGUCCUGGUCACAGAUGGACCACUGGGGGACACCACUUGUCACCGGCCUCCAAGUGGACAUAGAGCCAUUAACCACAACCCUCUGGCUGCAACCUUCCAACCAGUUUCUUAUCCACUGAACAGUCCCCCCUUCAAACCCAUCUCUCUCCAAUUUAGAGAUAAGGAUGUGGUGCGGGACCAUGUCAAAGGCCUUGCACAAGUCCAAGUAUGUGACAUCAGUUUCCCUCCCUUUGUCCACUGAUGCUAUUGUUGCAACAUAGAAGGCCACCAGAUUUUUC
rnacentral:lncRNA from 1 species